rnacentral:rRNA from 1 species
CCUACGGGAGGCAGCAGUGAGGAAUAUUGGUCAAUGGGCGGAAGCCUGAACCAGCCAAGUAGCGUGCAGGAUGACGGCCCUACGGGUUGUAAACUGCUUUUAUACGGGAAUAACGUGCCUUACGUGUAGGGCUUUGCAUGUACCGUAUGAAUAAGGACCGGCUAAUUCCGUGCCAGCAGCCGCGGUAAUACGGAAGGUACGGGCGUUAUCCGGAUUUAUUGGGUUUAAAGGGAGCGUAGGCGGCAUGUAAAGAUUGCUGUGAAAGGCCAGGGCUCAACCCGGGACUUGCUGUGCAAACUGGGGGGCUUGAGUGCGGGGGAGGCAGGCGGAAUGCGUGGUGUAGCGGUGAAAUGCUUAGAUAUGACGAAGAACCCCGAUUGCGAAGGCAGCUUGCUGCAGCGGAACUGACGCUGAUGCACGAAAGCGCGGGGAUCGAACAGGAUUAGAUACCCCGGUAGUC